rnacentral:misc_RNA from 1 species
CCGAGUUUACAAACUCCCCAAACCCUUUGUGAACCUUACCAUAUCGUUGCUUUCGGGCGGGACCGCCCCGGCGCCCUCGCGGCCCGGGAACCAGGCGCCCGCCGGAGGCCCCAAAACUCUUAUGGUCUUUUAGUGGUUUUCUCCUCUGAGUGACACAUAAAACAAAAUAAAUAA